CUAAAGAACACCAUUACUAAACCAAAAACUCUAAAAGAACAUAUUUUCUAAAAAAAACGAUGGAGGCAGCAAGAAAAUAUUCUCUAACAAUGGUAUUUUUGUUGGCAUUUCUUAUCAUUGCAUCAGAUAUGGCUGCAGAAUCACAAGCCAGAGGAGUGAGUGAGGAUAUCCUCCAAGAUUGUGCCAACGAUGGCGAUUGUGUACGUAAACAUUGGCCUUGCCCAUCCGGCACUAUUCCUGUAUGCGUUCAUCGCUCGUGUACAUGUGUACAUUAAUUAAGCUUCCAACAAUUACAUUAUUACUGGUUUAUAAAUUGAGUAAUAAAAUAUUGUAAAAUAAUCGUCAUAUAUGGACGAAAAUUAUGAAUAAAAUGGAUUUUAACAUGCACAAUAUUCAAAUUAA